rnacentral:rRNA from 1 species
GCUCGCGGCUUACCUGCAAGUCGAGGGGUAACAUUACAGCUUGCUGUAGAUGACGACCGGCGCACGGGUGCGUAACGCGUAUACAAUUUGCCUUAUACUGGAGAAUAGCCCUGAGAAAUUGGGAUUAAUGCUCCAUAGUAUCUUAAAACGGCCUCGUUUAAAGAUUAAAGCUCCGGCGGUAUAAGAUGAGUAUGCGUCCUAUUAGUUUGUUGGUGAGGUAACGGCUCACCAAGACUACGAUAGGUAGGGGUCCUGAGAGGGAGAUCCCCCACACUGGUACUGAGACACGGACCAGACUCCUACGGGAGGCAGCAGUGAGGAAUAUUGGGCAAUGGAGGCAACUCUGACCCAGCCAUGCCGCGUGAAGGAAGACGGCCCUAUGGGUUGUAAACUUCUUUUAUACAGGAAGAAACGCAGAUACGUGUAUCUGUUUGACGGUACUGUACGAAUAAGGACCGGCUAACUCCGUGCCAGCAGCCGCGGUAAUACGGAGGGUCCAAGCGUUAUCCGGAAUCAUUGGGUUUAAAGGGUCCGUAGGCGGAUAAUUAAGUCAGAGGUGAAAGCCCACAGCCCAACUGUGGAACUGCCUUUGAUACUGGUUAUCUUGAGUUAUAGUGAAGUAGAUAGAAUAUGUAGUGUAGCGGUGAAAUGCAUAGAUAUUACAUAGAAUACCGAUUGCGAAGGCAGUCUACUAACUAUAUACUGACGCUGAUGGACGAAAGCGUGGGGAGCGAACAGGAUUAGAUACCCUGGUAGUCCACGCCGUAAACGAUGGAUACUAGUUGUUGGGUCUGCUUGCAGAUCAGUGACCAGGCGAAAGUGAUAAGUAUCCCACCUGGGGGAGUACGUCGCAGAUGAAACUCAAGGAUGACGGGGCCGCACAGCGGUGGAGCAUGUGUA